CCUACGGGUGGCAGCAGUGAGGAAUAUUGGUCAAUGGCCGGGAGGCUGAACCAGCCAAGUCGCGUGAGGGAAGACGGCCCUACGGGUUGUAAACCUCUUUUGUCAGGGAGCAAGGUGCAGGUCGGGACCUGCUGUGAGAGUACCUGAAGAAAAAGCAUCGGCUAACUCCGUGCCAGCAGCCGCGGUAAUACGGAGGAUGCGAGCGUUAUCCGGAUUUAUUGGGUUUAAAGGGUGCGCAGGCGGAGGCACAAGUCAGCGGUAAAAUCGCGGGGCUCAACCCCGCACCGCCGUUGAAACUGUGUCCCUUGAGUGCAGAAGAGGAGAGUGGAACUCCAUGUGUAGCGGUGAAAUGCGUAGAUAUAUGGAAGAACACCAGUGGCGAAAGCGGCUCUCUGGUCUGUAACUGACGCUGAGGUUCGAAAGCGUGGGUAGCAAACAGGAUUAGAUACCCUUGUAGUC
rnacentral:rRNA from 1 species